rnacentral:tRNA from 1 species
AACUUCAGAGCCUAGUGUUUUGGCAGCAUUAUUUUAAAGUGCUAUAAGUAAAUGAUUUGCUUGAAGUUU